AUCCCUGGGAGAGCAGAAACAUAUUAAAGUGUGAGGAACUGUGCCUCUCAAACUUUGUGACAUAUUAAAAUCACCUGGAAAGCUUUAAAAGGCCCCAAAUGUCCAGGCCACAAUCUCAUACCAAUGAAUUCAGGAUUGCUAAGGAUGGCUAAUGUAUAUGUAUGUGUGUGUGUGUGUGUGUGUGUGUGUAUGUUUUUCAGGUGACUCCAAUGUGUAUAGAUACCGAGUACAGGCUCCAUAUUAGAAUUACCUGGGGAGUCUUUAAAUAGCCUGACACUUGACCCCUGCUCUUAGAAAGUCUGAUUUAAUUGGUCUGGGAUGGCAGCAAAAAUAUUUCUAGAAGAUUCAAAUAUGUUGCCAGCUACAGCCUCUGUUGAAAAUGUUAGUCCAGCUUCAUUAAAGGGUCACAGGCUUAAAAAUAUUGCCACACACUUAUAGAUCUGGUCUUGGGGCUUUGAUAUUCAAUCUCCUUACAUGUGAUUGAAACUGUGCUUGUAUUUUUUUUAUAUGAAUCCAAAUAUUUGUGUGUGCCUUUAGUUCUCUAAAACAAAAAGAAAAAAGUUUCUUUUGAAAAAUUUAACCACGGGGCUGGAGAGAUGGCUCGGUGGUUAAAAUUACAGUUUGUUCUUCUUCAGGUGGCGAGUUCAAUUCCCAGCGCCCACGUGGAGGCUCAUUAGCAGCUGUAACUGUAUUCUCAUGUAAGUCCUGUGGAAUCCGAUGCCCUCUUCUGGUAUGCAAACACGAAUGGGAACAAAAUAUCCAACAUAUACAAAUGCAUAAGCAAAUAAACGUUAAGAAAAGAGAAAUUAACUUCACUAGAGCUGAGUUCGUGGACAGAAGUGCUGAAUUACACCCGGGCCUCAGGAGAAGCUAUGGAGUUGAGAGGAACGGAGGACUAGAGAAUGAAGUGGUUCUAAAGAAGAGUUUCUGGCUUAGCAAAUAAACGACAAGUAGCCCAGUUAAAGAAAGCCCGGAAUUCCCAGUCUUGGAAGAUCCACUGGUGCGUAGAGCUUUCUCCGGGUCUUUGUUGGCUUUGCCACCUGAGGAAGAACGCUUGCCCUCUCUGCCGGGCUCAAGAGAUCAUACAGGUGAGCCAAUUUCAGAGGAUUCGCAAGGCCAAGCCCAGCACUUACUAGAAGCUCUAAGUGGAAACUCAGGUAUCAGGCAUGGUACUAUAGAUAACGACAUGUAUGGUCAGAAGAGGAUGGGGCCAGAGCUGAUAGCAAGGCCACGAAUCCCCAACUGGAAAGAGUCCUUCAAUACACCACAAUAGUAAAUAAGCUAAGAUAGUUAUAUUACAAUAACAUGUAACCAUUAAUAAUCGUCUCAUUGUUUCCUUCUCCAACCUUCCUUCUCCCCCUCCCUCUUCUUCCCCUUCCUCCUUCCCUCUUUCCUCCUUUCUUCCUUCCUUUCUUCCCCAGGGUUAAGUUGUGGAAUGUAGGUUGGUUUGAAAUGUACUAUGUAGAUCACAUUGCCCUUGAACUCACAGACUUCCUUGCAAUCUUCCUAUGCUAGGAUUUCAGGCAUGUGUCAUCGUACUGGGCUACCAUUAAUACUAGUUCUUGUAGAACACUUUUAUGAGAAAUCUGUGCAUAGUAGGAUUCUGUUUUUUUUUUUUUUUUUGGUUCUUUUUUUCAGAGCUGGGGACCGAACCCAGGGCCUUGCGCUUCCUAGGCAAGCGCUCUACCAUUGAAGGAUUCUGUUUUAAUCGAACGCCUAUCACAUAUACAGAUGCCCCCAUACUCGUAAUGGACUACGUUCUGAUAAAUCCAUUGUAAGCCAGAAAUGUGUUCAUUACACUAACCUGCUGGACCUCCUAGCUCACUACAGCAGAGUGUGGGUUCUUCUUUGUGAACACACGAUUGGUUGCGAGCUGUGGCUCAGAAUUGUGUAAGAGGACUGUGUUAUAUCUUGCCAGCCCAGAGGAAGCUCAAAAAUGAAACAUUUUAAAUACAGUUUCUCCCGAGACUAUCUUGCUUUUUUUUGUACCAUUGAAAAGUAGAAAAAUUCUCAGUUGAACUGCAGAAAGCUGAAAACUGCAUCUACAUACUGAAUAAAUUGUGUGUGUGUGUGUGUGUGUGUGUGUGUGUGUGUGU
rnacentral:sRNA from 1 species